UGAUUGGCAGCUGCGUCUGCCUGUGGCCGGAGAGCGAGGGGCGGAAGGGGUGGUGGGGUCCGGAAGCGGAACGGGUAAAGGCGGAAGUGAGGGCCGGGGCCUGCGAGACGCACCGGCGGGAGCGGCGCUGCGGGCGUUGCAACCUGCCUACAGGUGGAUCCCAGUGCAGAACCUGCAGCAUCCUUAACUCUCGGCACUCCUGCACUUAGACCACGAUGGCAGGUCGAGGUGGAGCUGCCCGACCGAAUGGACCAGCUGCUGGGAACAAAAUCUGCCAGUUCAAACUUGUUCUCUUGGGCGAGUCAGCGGUGGGGAAGUCCAGCCUGGUCCUGCGCUUCGUGAAGGGGCAGUUCCACGAGUACCAGGAGAGCACAAUUGGAGCUGCCUUCCUAACACAGACAGUGUGUCUGGAUGACACAACGGUGAAGUUUGAGAUCUGGGACACGGCGGGGCAGGAGCGAUACCACAGCCUGGCCCCCAUGUACUACCGGGGGGCCCAGGCUGCCAUCGUGGUCUAUGACAUCACCAACACAGACACAUUUGUACGAGCCAAGAACUGGGUGAAAGAGUUGCAGAGGCAGGCUAGCCCCAAUAUUGUAAUUGCACUAGCAGGAAACAAGGCAGACCUUGCUAACAAGAGAGCUGUGGACUUCCAGGAUGCACAGACAUAUGCAGAUGACAACAGCUUGCUGUUCAUGGAGACGUCAGCGAAGACAGCGAUGAAUGUGAAUGAAAUCUUCAUGGCAAUAGCCAAGAAACUGCCAAAAAAUGAACCCCAGAACGCUCCUGGUGGCCCGGGCAGGAAUCGGGUGGUGGACCUUCAGGAGAGCAGCCAGCCGAGCAGAAGCCAGUGCUGCAGCAACUGAGCAGCUGCUGCAGCCUGCGAGCCCGUGGAGGAGUGACUGGAACCCACGCUAACGAUCGCACUUACCGUAGGGCGGCUGCUGCCGGCGCCGCUGUGAUUCUCCAUCCCUUUCUGAUCAUAGGCUGGAGGGAGUUCUUCCACCUGCACCUUUCUGUACAAAUACUAAUUCAAUUCUAAGUCUUAAGUCACUUUUUUAAUAUAUGAACUUCUGCUCUUCCCUCUUCCUGGUGGUGGUGGAUGCAGGACCUGGUGUCUGCCCAGCCAGCGUGGCCGUCCCGCAGCAGGGACUGGACCUGAGCACAACAGUUCUUGGUGGAAGCUGAGCUGUGCUGGGCUGCUCCUGCACGAUGGCCUUGGAAGAUGCUGCUCUCCUGUCACUGCUGCAUGGACUAUGAGACCCCAACACCCUGGGACCUGGAAUCAGUAUGGAAGAAGAGGCAGACCCUUGCAGCUCCAUCCCUGCCACCUGUGCUGCCAGCAGCACCAUUUGUGCUCAGGAGAGACUGGGGAUGGAGAUGUGCUGCAUUUGGAACCCAUUGCCCCCCUCAGCUGUGGGGCUGCGAGAGGCUCGGGCACAGAGCCUGUGAGUAGAGUGGUGUGAACAGCCUUGGCUUGUGUGCCCUUCAUCUGCUAUCCAAGGUCUCAGUGCCUCUUCCUCAUGCUUGAUUUCCUUAAAAUCCUGGAAGCAGGAAGGGUCUGGAGUGAUUUGGUGAUGGAGUGCCUGGGAUCAUGCUGGAGCCUGGGCUGCCUGUGGGGUGUGGGCUUUGAUGGCCCCCACUACACCUCAUUUGUGGGGUGCUGUUGGUGCCUGGACUGCUGAGGUGCUCUGUGGGACCACCCAGUGCUUACUGUGUGGGGUGGACUGAUGCUGCUGGUUUUCUCAGGCAGCCAGAGAGAGACCAGUUUGGAGAAGAGCUUCCCUGAUCCCACUCAGAGCAAUUCAGUGGACACUGUGUGCAGUGCUGUUGCCAUCUGCUGGCUCCUCUCCCUGCGUGCCUGGUUUCUUCCUAGACUUGGGCUCUCUGUGAAGGCAUCUGUGAUACCUUAAAGAGGGUCUUGCUGCUUACAACAGGGGCUCAGUAGCGAGGCUGGGGACCUGCUGGCGUUCCUGGUGUGUCUGGGCAAUGGGCUGUCUGAUCUCAGGGUGGCUUUAGCACAAACAGGCGUUGCUGCCUGCAUACCUGCUGCCUGCCCACACAGCUGCUGCCUGCCCGGGCCUGAGCGUGGCUGUUUGUGGUGGUUACGCACCGCGCCCGGGGUUGGGCUUUUCCCUCCCUGCUGCUGGCAGCUCAGGGUGGACUCCAUCAGCCCCUUGCCAAGCUGGGAAGGGGAAAGUGUGGCUACAACAGCCUCACACCACACCCAGCCAGGUAGCCUGGUGUGGUUCUUUCCCUAUUGUUUGGGGAUGGGUAUUGGCUGAGGCUGUGGAGCUGGAGGUGAUGCUGGCAGCGGUGUGAGGAAAGGGUGAGGGCACCCCUGCUGCUCCUAUACAGGUGAGUGGGAUUGUCCUUCCUGCCUGCCUCUCUCCCUUAGCAGCACAGUGCUCCCAGAUCCCCUCCCUCACAGAA